GGAAUUAAUGUCCAGGUUUAUCAAGAGACAAAUAAGGUAGUCUGGUACUUCCAUCUCUUUAAGAACUUGCCACAAUUUGUUGUGAUCCACACAAUCAAAGGCUUUAGCAUCAUCAAUGAAGCAGAAGUAGGUGUUUUUCUGGAACUCCAUA